CUGAAGAGAAUUAUCCUAUCAUUUAGCAAAUGCUUUCGCUUCUAGAUUUCUUACUCCUUUCGUGUAUCUCAGGAUAUAGCAAAAGAAGUUGCAGGAAACACAAAAGAGGGGAGAAAAAGAUUUUCAAAUUGGAGGAUGUUCUCCAAUGAGAUGUAGAAGGAAGGCUUUGUUGUCAAGUACUAGAAUGACACAAGGAUCUUGGUGGAAUGCUGAGAGGAUGUGUAUGUAGUUGCCCACUAUAAGGAGCCAAGGUAGAUGAUGUGCCUCUUAAAACAAAUUCUAGAAAAUAAAGCAUGGUAUUUUUGCUAUUAGGCAAUAAACCAUAAUGCUUCCUCUACUUAAUUAGUUCCACUAGUUUUAUAGGAAAGUUGGAUGGUCAUUAGUUCAUAACAGAUGAUGUAUUUAUAUGUGAAAAUUAUUGAAAUGUA